rnacentral:rRNA from 1 species
AUUGAACGCUGGCGGCAGGCUUAACACAUGCAAGUCGAGCGGGGGAAGGUAGCUUGCUACCGGACCUAGCGGCGGACGGGUGAGUAAUGCUUAGGAAUCUGCCUAUUAGUGGGGGACAACAUCCCGAAAGGGAUGCUAAUACCGCAUACGUCCUACGGGAGAAAGCAGGGGAUCUUCGGACCUUGCGCUAAUAGAUGAGCCUAAGUCGGAUUAGCUAGGUGGUGGGGUAAAGGCCUACCAAGGCGACGAUCUGUAGCGGGUCUGAGAGGAUGAUCCGCAACACUGGGACUGAGACACGGCCCAGACUCCUACGGGAGGCAGCAGUGGGGAAUAUUGGACAAUGGGGGGAACCCUGAUCCAGCCAUGCGGCGUGUGUGAAGAAGGCCUUAUGGUUGUAAAGCACUUUAAGCGAGGAGGAGGCUACUCUAGUUAAUACCUAGGGAUAGUGGACGUUACUCGCAGAAUAAGCACCGGCUAACUCUGUGCCAGCCGCCGCCGUAA